CCAAAUUUUCCUUUUGGUAAAUUUGACCUUGCAGGUUCCUUUUUCUAGUAAAUUUCAUUAAUUACAAAUCCCAUUUGCUUAAAUCUCUUUCUCUCCAACAAUUCUUUCACAUUUUCUUCACUUAAAACCUCUCAAAGACUCAACCUUUUUCACUCUGUCUUGUCAAAAAAAUUGAAUCUUGGUGAGUUCAAGAAAACAUGAAUUGGGUUGUUGUUGAAAUUCAUGAAAGUUGUAAUCUUUUACAUGAAAAACACUUGAAAGACUGAAUCUUUUGUUCAUUUUCUGUUGUCACAAAUCAAAAAGUUUGAG
rnacentral:lncRNA from 1 species